AUGACUUUCAUCUUCAUGUUCCUCUGGACACUUGUCCUCUGCUUUCAGAUCUCAUAUGGACAGGUCACUGUGACUCAGACUCCUGCAGUGAAAGCUGUUCAACAGGGAGGAUCAGUCACUCUCAACUGUAAAACCAGCAGUGAUGUGUAUAAGGCAGGGACAUCAGCCCCUCGAUUAGCCUGGUACCAACAGAAACCUGGAGCAGCUCCUAAACUCCUGAUCUAUUAUGCCACAACACUUCAGUCUGGGACUCCAUCCAGAUUCAGUGGCAGUGGAACUCACAGUGACUUCACUCUGACCAUCAGUAAUGUCCAGGCUGAGGAUGCAGGAGUUUACUACUGUCAGAGUUUCCACUAUAUCAACAGUAUACAUGAGUGGACUUUCGGUGGCGGCACAAGACUCGAUGUUGGAAGUGACACCAGUCCCAAACUCACAGUCCUGCCUCCCCUGCACACCAGCGGGAGUUCAGCCACGUUGAUGUGCCUGGCUAACGGAGGCUACCCGUCCGACUGGACGCUGAGCUGGAAGGUAGCAGGGAGCAGCAGGAGCGGGGAGACCAGUCGCUGGGGCCCACAGAAGGACGGCCUGUACAGCUGGAGCAACACCCUGACCCUCCCUCUCCAGGAGUGGACCCAGGGGGUCUCAGUGACCUGCGAGGCAAAGCAGGGCUCCCAGACUGUCACUGAGAUUCUGAAGAAAUCAGACUGCUCCUAGUGUCCCCUUUCAAAUGUCUGUCAUUAGCCUGAUUGAAAGUGUAUUUGAUAAAGACUCUUCAUCUCUGAUAG